rnacentral:rRNA from 1 species
AACGAACGCUGGCGGCAUGCCUAACACAUGCAAGUCGAACGAGACCUUCGGGUCUAGUGGCGCACGGGUGCGUAACGCGUGGGAACCUGCCUUUAGGUUCGGAAUAACUCAGAGAAAUUUGAGCUAAUACCGGCUGAUGUCUUCGGACCAAAGAUUUAUCGCCGUUGGAUGGGCCCGCGUUGGCUUAGCUUGUGGGUGUGGUAACGGCCUAUCAAGGCUACGAUCCAUAGCUGGUCUGAGAGGAAGAGCAGCCACACUGGGGCUGAGACACGGCCCAGACUCCUGCGGGAGGGAGCAGAGGGGAAUACAGGACAAUGGGCGGAAGCAUGAUGCAGCAAUGGCGGGUGAGUGAUGAAGGACGGAGGGAAAUAAAGCUCGUUUAUCCGAGAGGAUAAUGACGGUAUCGGGAGAAUAAGCACCGGCUAACUCCGUG